GCCAGGCAUGGUGGCCCAUGCCUGUAAUCCCAACUGCUCGGGAGGCUGAGGCAGGAUAAUCGCUUGAACCCAGGAGGCAGAGGUUGCGGUGAGCCGAGAUCGUGCCACUGCACUCUAGCCUGGGCGACAGAGCGAGACUCUGUCUCAA
rnacentral:SRP_RNA from 1 species